rnacentral:rRNA from 1 species
GACGAACGCUGGCGGCGUGCUUAACACAUGCAAGUCGAACGAAGAGCGACGGAAGCUUGCUUCUAUCAAUCUUAGUGGCGAACGGGUGAGUAACGCGUAAUCAACCUGCCCUUCAGAGGGGGACAACAGUUGGAAACGACUGCUAAUACCGCAUACGAUCUAAUCUCGGCAUCGAGGAUGGAUGAAAGGUGGCCUCGACAUGUAAGCUAUCACUGAAGGAGGGGAUUGCGUCUGAUUAGCUAGUUGGAGGGGUAACGGCCCACCAGGGCGAUGAUCAGUAGACGGUCUGAGAGGAUGAACGGCCACAUUGGGACUGAGACACGGCCCAGACUCCUACGGGAGGCAGCAGUGGGGAAUCUUCCGCAAUGGACGAAAGUCUGACGGAGCAACGCCGCGUGAGUGAUGACGGCCUUCGGGUUGUAAAGCUCUGUUAAUCGGGACGAAAGGCCUUCUUGCGAAUAGUGAGAAGGAUUGACGGUACCGGCAGAGAAAGCCACGGCUAACUACGUG